rnacentral:rRNA from 1 species
AGUGAACGCUGGCGGUAGGCCUAACACAUGCAAGUCGAACGGCAGCACAGUAAGAGCUUGCUCUUACGGGUGGCGAGUGGCGGACGGGUGAGGAAUACAUCGGAAUCUACUUUUUCGUGGGGGAUAACGUAGGGAAACUUACGCUAAUACCGCAUACGACCUACGGGUGAAAGCAAGGGAUCUUCGGACCUUGCGCGAUUGAAUGAGCCGAUGUCGGAUUAGCUAGUUGGCGGGGUAAAGGCCCACCAAGGCGACGAUCCGUAGCUGGUCUGAGAGGAUGAUCAGCCACACUGGAACUGAGACACGGUCCAGACUCCUACGGGAGGCAGCAGUGGGGAAUAUUGGACAAUGGGCGCAAGCCUGAUCCAGCCAUACCGCGUGGGUGAAGAAGGCCUUCGGGUUGUAAAGCCCUUUUGUUGGGAAAGAAAAGCAGCAGGUUAAUACCCCGCUGUUCUGACGGGACCCAAAGAAUAAGCACCGGCUAACUUCGU